UCAGACUCCAUUGUCAGCCAAUAGUAGCCUGCUCUCAACAUCUUUCUAGCCAUGGCAUGUCCAUUGGAAUGAGUAUCAAAUGAACCCUCAUGGACCUCAGUCAUCAACAGGUUUGCUUCGUGUCUAUCCACGCAUCUGAGCAAAACCAUGUCAAAAUUCCUCUUAUAUUGCACUUCACCACUGAGGUAGAAACUGCCUGACAACCUUCUCAAAG
rnacentral:lncRNA from 1 species